GGCAAGAUGGCCGAGUGGUCUAAGGCGCUGUGUUCAGGAAGUUGGAAAUCGCAGUCCGAAAGGGCGUGGGUUCGAAUCCCACUCUUGUCA
rfam:Stachybotrys chartarum IBT 40288 unplaced genomic scaffold scaffold1002, whole genome shotgun sequence.